UGUGUUUGUGUGUGUGAUUUUUUUUUCAUAGUGGCUAAAGGUAUAGGGUGAGGGUUGAGAACUCAAAAAACAUGUUUAACUUAACGCAUUUUUGCGCAUGUCCAAAAUCAGGAGCCUCUUGCCUUUGUUAGUCUUGUAUGAUUUUUAAUUUUAGUUUCUUUUAUAUAUUUCGGAGAUGAGUAAGACGUUCAUUAUCACUGAACUAGUACACAUUUUACUUUAGCUGAAUAACGCCUCUGGGUGCAGGAUUUAUUUUCUCGCUGUAUUGUAGACCGUUUUCCGCUCUUUAAUCGGGUUGUUGUCUCUUUGACACAUUCCCCAUUCCCCAUUUCCAUUCUCAACUUUAGUUUUCUGAUUCAAAAAAUGAUGUAUCUAAAGCAGUAUUGAGGGUAUUUCAGUGUCGUGAACAAACAGAUAACCAGGAAUAAUCCAUUAAAUUGCAAUUGAGUUCUUUUCCCAACUAGCGUGCGAGACAGUUUUCCUAGGGAACCGUUUCAAAUAAUUUUUCCUAUUGCUUUCUUUUUUUCUUUUUUGGCUUAAAUUGACUCAAUAAACGAUGGUCAACAAUUUACUUAAACAAAAGAUUGAUAUACUGCAAGGGUAAUUAUAUGGUGAAGUUUAUUUCUUUAGCUUUUACGUAACAUUGUGUCUCCUUUUUACUUGUUUAAUUGCUAUACUUUAUCAAAUUCUGAUUUGACAUUGAAGACAACACACUUCCAUUAGAUAUCGAAAACUCCUGUGUACAGUAGAGCGAUAAUUGUUCCAGAUAAUUACUGGAUCAAUCUCUUAACGCUCGAAUUUGAUGAAAGUUGAACAACUCUCUUUAAGUACUUCCUUUGUCCUUUUUCUCGAUUAUCUUAGAUUAAUAUGCAAUAUUUGCCACUGAACAUUAACAUCUAGAAAAAACUAGAAAUUUAACUGGAAUUUGCAACAUUUCUACUAAGCAUUUACCGCAAAGCAAAGACUAGUCGGCUCAAUGUCAAAAUACAUUCUUUUCGACUGACACAUCGAAUAAUUAUUUGUGAGUAAACAGACUAGAAGCAUCU
rnacentral:lncRNA from 1 species